rnacentral:rRNA from 1 species
GGCCAGUUGCCGGCAGGCCUUACACAUGCAAGUCGAGCGGUAGCACAGGGGAGCUUGCUCCCUGGGUGACGAGCGGCGGACGGGUGAGUAAUGUCUGGGAAACUGCCUGAUGGAGGGGGAUAACUACUGGAAACGGUAGCUAAUACCGCAUAACGUCGCAAGACCAAAGAGGGGGACCUUCGGGCCUCUUGCCAUCAGAUGUGCCCAGAUGGGAUUAGCUAGUAGGUGGGGUAAUGGCUCACCUAGGCGACGAUCCCUAGCUGGUCUGAGAGGAUGACCAGCCACACUGGAACUGAGACACGGUCCAGACUCCUACGGGAGGCAGCAGUGGGGAAUAUUGCACAAUGGGCGCAAGCCUGAUGCAGCCAUGCCGCGUGUGUGAAGAAGGCCUUCGGGUUGUAAAGCACUUUCAGCGAGGAGGAAGGUGGUGAGCUUAAUACGUUCAUCAAUUGACGUUACUCGCAGAAGAAGCACCGGCUAACUCCGUGCCAGCAGCCGCGGUAAUACGGAGGGUGCAAGCGUUAAUCGGAAUUACUGGGCGUAAAGCGCACGCAGGCGGUUUGUUUAAGUCAGAUGUGAAAUCCCCGGGCUCAACCUGGGAACUGCAUUUGAAACUGGCAAGCUAGAGUCUCGUAGAGGGGGGUAGAAUUCCAGGUGUAGCGGUGAAAUGCGUAGAGAUCUGGAGGAAUACCGGUGGCGAAGGCGGCCCCCUGGACGAAGACUGACGCUCAGGUGCGAAAGCGUGGGGAGCAAACAGGAUUAGAUUCCCCUGGUAGUCCACGCUGUAAACGAUGUCCAAUUU